AUAGGGAGGCAAGCGGGGGCAUUAUUAGAAGAUUUCAAUCAUUUUUCGACUUAAGGGUCGAGCUUCAAACGGUCUAGAAGGUGAUCGUGCAGAGGAGUGAAUUUCACUCAAGGUUUUAUAGUUUUCUCACAUGGCACGUCUCGAUCACCUGAGUCUCAUGGGUGCGCCCGGAGUCUAUGGGAUAAGGAGGGUUGGGACGGGUCGUGUCAACUUGGUA